rnacentral:rRNA from 2 species
GAUUGGUGCUUGCAUCAUGAUUUACAUUUGAGUGAGUGGCGAACUGGUGAGUAACACGUGGGAAACCUGCCCAGAAGCGGGGGAUAACACCUGGAAACAGAUGCUAAUACCGCAUAACAACUUGGACCGCAUGGUCCGAGUUUGAAAGAUGGCUUCGGCUAUCACUUUUGGAUGGUCCCGCGGCGUAUUAGCUAGAUGGUGGGGUAACGGCUCACCAUGGCAAUGAUACGUAGCCGACCUGAGAGGGUAAUCGGCCACAUUGGGACUGAGACACGGCCCAAACUCCUACGGGAGGCAGCAGUAGGGAAUCUUCCACAAUGGACGAAAGUCUGAUGGAGCAACGCCGCGUGAGUGAAGAAGGGUUUCGGCUCGUAAAACUCUGUUGUUAAAGAAGAACAUAUCUGAGAGUAACUGUUCAGGUAUUGACGGUAUUUAACCAGAAAGCCACGGCUAACUACGUGCCAGCAGCCGCGGUAAUACGUAGGUGGCAAGCGUUGUCCGGAUUUAUUGGGCGUAAAGCGAGCGCAGGCGGUUUUUUAAGUCUGAUGUGAAAGCCUUCGGCUCAACCGAAGAAGUGCAUCGGAAACUGGGAAACUUGAGUGCAGAAGAGGACAGUGGAACUCCAUGUGUAGCGGUGAAAUGCGUAGAUAUAUGGAAGAACACCAGUGGCGAAGGCGGCUGUCUGGUCUGUAACUGACGCUGAGGCUCGAAAGUAUGGGUAGCAAACAGGAUUAGAUACCCUGGUAGUCCAUACCGUAAACGAUGAAUGCUAAGUGUUGGAGGGUUUCCGCCCUUCAGUGCUGCAGCUAACGCAUUAAGCAUUCCGCCUGGGGAGUACGGCCGCAA